rnacentral:rRNA from 1 species
UACGAAGGGGGCUAGCGUUGCUCGGAAUUACUGGGCGUAAAGGGCGCGUAGGCGGUUCGAUAAGUCAGGUGUGAAAACUCUGGGCUCAACUCAGAGACGCCACUUGAUACUGUCGUGACUUGAAUCUGGUAGGGGAGUGUGGAAUUCCCGGUGUAGCGGUGAAAUGCGCAGAUAUCGGGAGGAACACCAGUGGCGAAGGCGGCACUCUGGGCCAGUAUUGACGCUGAGGAGCGAAAGCGUGGGGAGCGAACAGG